rnacentral:rRNA from 1 species
UAACAGCUAUAAUUUACUUGAUCUUGACACAAUCCUACUUGGAUAACUGUGGUAAUUCUAGAGCUAAUACAUGCAUUAAAGCUCUGACCUCACGGGAAGAGUGCAUUUAUUAGAACAAAACCAAGCGGCUUCGGCUGUUUCUGGUUGACUCAUAGUAACUGAGCUGAUCGCAUGGUCUUGCACCGGCGACGUGUCUUUCAAGUAUCUGCCGUAUCAACUUUCGAUGGUAGUGUAUCUGACUACCAUGGUGAUCACGCGUAACGGAGAAUAAGGGUUCGGCUCCGGAGAGUUCGCCUGAGAAAUCGCGAACACAUCUAAGGAAGGCAGCAGGCGCGAAAAUUACCCACUCUCAGCACGAGGAGGUAGUGACGAAAAAUAACGAGACCGUUCUCUUAUGAGGCCGGUCAUCGGAAUGGGUACAAUUUAAACCCUUUAACGAGUAUCUAUGAGAGGGCAAGUCUGGUGCCAGCAGCCGCGGUAAUUCCAGCUCUCAAAGUGCAUAGAAUUAUUGCUGCGGUUAAAAAGCUCGUAGUUGGAUCUGUGCCAUAGGACGUGGUCCACCUUCGGGUGCGUACUACGCUCCUAGGCUUUUUGCUGGUUUUCCCGUCGUAGCCUUCACUGGUUGCGGCGGGUGGCUGGCGAGUUUACUUUGAGAAAAUCAGAGUGCUCAAUACAGGCGUAUCGCUUGAAUGAUUGUGCAUGGAAUAAUAGAAAAGGAUUUCGGUCCUCUUUUAUUGGUUUUGUGGACUGAGAUAAUGGUUAACAGGGACAAACGGGGGCAUUCGUAUCUCUGCGUGAGAGGUGAAAUUCUUGGACCGUAGAGAGACGCCCUACUGCGAAAGCAUUUGCCAAGAAUGUCUUCA